rnacentral:rRNA from 1 species
CGGGGUGAGUAACGCGUGGAUAACCUGCCUUACACUGGGGGAUAACACUUAGAAAUAGGUGCUAAUACCGCAUAAGCGCACAGAGCCGCAUGGCUCAGUGUGAAAAACUUCGGUGGUGUAAGAUGGAUCCGCGUCUGAUUAGCUGGUUGGCGGGGUAGAAGCCCACCAAGGCGACGAUCAGUAGCCGGCCUGAGAGGGUGAACGGCCACAUUGGGACUGAGACACGGCCCAAACUCCUACGGAAGGCAGCAG